rnacentral:rRNA from 1 species
GAUCAAAGAUAGCCUCUUCUUGAAAGCUAUUGUUUGAGGAUGAGCCCGCGUACCAUUAGCUUGUUGGUGGGGUAAAGGCCUACCAAGGCGACGAUGGUUAGCUGGUCUGAGAGGAUGAUCAGCCACACUGGAACUGGAACACGGUCCAG